CAAUGCUCAACAAAAAAAAGAAGAGGUCAUAAGAACUCAAGAACAGAAGACAUACUGUGCUUUGUGUGAACCUAUCCAAUAUUCGAAACAAAACAAAAUUGAAACCUUUGAAUGAACUUAAAACUCUAAAAGGAGCAUCUAUCAUGCUGAUAGGGCUGAACAGUCUGUACUGGCAGCAAUGUCUGGUCCAUGCCAGGAAGGAAAGAUCAAAACCUUUCUCAAGAUUUCCCUGGAUGUUAUUUCAAGUGGCUCUACAAACAAAGGAUGUGUGUCAUUGUUUGAAGUCAAACACUGAACAAAAAUAGAUAUAAGCAAAUCAAGAGAUUUCGGCUGAGGAAUGGCUAGGAGAGAUUUUCCAGGUAAGUGCUGGUAUACAACACUGCAAGUCUUUCAGAGCCAUUCAUGACCCGAUCAGAAUAGGACACAGUGAGACAAUCACAACACAAUAUUGCAUUAACCAGAAUAACCAAUAGGCCAGACUGGAUGUA
rnacentral:lncRNA from 1 species